AUGAUCAGCAGUCAGACCUGGGGCACACAGGUGGUCAGCAGAGCCGGCCCCGGGGUCCACAGGUGGUCAGCAGAGCCGGCCCCUAGGGUGCAGAGAUGGUCAGCAGGCAGCCCUGGGGUGCACAGGUGGUCAGCAAUCAGCCCUGGGGUGCACAGGUGGUCAGCAGAGCCGGCCCUGGGAUCCACAGGUGGUCAGCAGAGCCGGCCCCUGGGGUGCACAGGUGGUCAGCAGAGCCGGCCCCGGGGUCCACAGGUGGUCAGCAGAGCCGGCCCCUGGGGUGCAGAGAUGGUCAGCAGUCAGCCCCGGGGCACACAGGUGGUCAGCAGAGCUGGCCCCGGGGCGCACAGGUGGUCACAGCGCCGGCCCCUGGGGUGCAGAGAUGGUCAGCAGUCAGCCCCGGGGCACACAGGUGGUCACAGAGCCGGCCCCUGGGGUGCAGAGAUGGUCAGCAGUCAGCCCCGGGGCACACAGGUGGUCAGCAGAGCUGGCCCCGGGGCGCACAGGUGGUCACAGAGCCGGCCCCUGGGGUGCAGAGAUGGUCAGCAGGCAGCCCCGGGGCACACAGGUGGUCAGCAGAGCUGGCCCCGGGGCGCACAGGUGGUCACAGCGCCGGCCACGACGGGCCGGGAACAGACCCACAGGGCGGCGGCGGUGCGGGCCGCGGGCAGCGACGACCCCGCGAGCAGCCCAGCCUACAGGCAGGCCUCGCCCACGCGGCAGGUCACCGAAGAACCAGGCGGUGGAGGUACACGUCCUGCGCUCCGAGCUCUGAACCCACGCCCCGGGCAGCCUCACCGCGGAGGCCGUGGAGGGGGCCCGCCGCCGGCCCGUCGCCUCCUCCAGGUCCGCGCACUUCCGGAUUCGGGGGCUGGAGGGCACCGUGGAGGCGGCAACAGGCGCGCGGGGCACCGGCACACGUGGGCAAGCAGUCCAGGCACACGGGGUCACGGUGGCUUCCCAGCCUCCCUCGCGGCAGGACGGAGCCACGUGCCCUCCAAGUGCGCAUGCGGCGUUGUGGUUUCCCAGCCUCCCUCGCGGCAGGACGGAGCCACGUGCCCUCCAAGUGCGCAUGCGGCGUUGUGGUUUCCCAGCCUCCCUCGCGCCAGGGCAGAACCACGUGCCCUCCAACCGCGCAUGCUUCCUCGUGAUUUCCCAGCGUCCCUGGCGGCGGGUCGCAGCCGCAUGGCGGACGGGUAG
rnacentral:lncRNA from 1 species